ACGCCCAGGCAGGCGUGCCCUCGGCCAGAAGGCCUCGGGCGCAACUUGCGUUCAAAGACUCGAUGGUUCGCGGGAUUCUGCAAUUCACACCAGGUAUCGCAUUUCGCUACGUUCUUCAUCGAUGCGAGAGCCGAGAUAUCCGUUGCCGAGAGUCGUGURGAUUAUAUAGCAUUGCAACCCAGGGUGCGGCCAGCAAGCCAGCCGCGUCCCCGGGUUAGGCACAGUGUUCCUUGACGCCUUCGGCGCCGUGGGUUCUUUUACCUCGAG
rnacentral:rRNA from 1 species